rnacentral:rRNA from 1 species
UACGAAGGGGGCUAGCGUUGCUCGGAAUCACUGGGCGUAAAGCGCACGUAGGCGGCUUUUUAAGUCAGAGGUGAAAUCCUGGAGCUCAACUCCAGAACUGCCUUUGAUACUGGAGAGCUUGAGACCGGAAGAGGUAAGUGGAACUGCGAGUGUAGAGGUGAAAUUCGUAGAUAUUCGCAAGAACACCAGUGGCGAAGGCGGCUUACUGGUCCGGUUCUGACGCUGAGGCGCGAAAGCGUGGGGAGCAAACAGG